rfam:TPA: Bos taurus chromosome 8, whole genome shotgun sequence.
UCCCUGGUGGCUCAGACGGUAAAGCGUCUGCCUGCAAUGUAGGAGACCCGGAUUCGAUUUCUGGGUCAGGAAG